rnacentral:rRNA from 1 species
AACGAACGCUGGCGGCAUGCCUAACACAUGCAAGUCGAACGAGACCUUCGGGUCUAGUGGCGCACGGGUGCGUAACGCGUGGGAACCUGCCCUUAGGUUCGGAAUAACUCCCCGAAAGGGGUGCUAAUACCGGAUAAUGUCUUCGGACCAAAGAUUUAUCGCCUUUGGAUGGGCCCGCGUUGGAUUAGCUAGUUGGUAGGGUGAAAGCCUACCAAGGCGACGAUCCAUAGCUGGUCUGAGAGGAUGAUCAGCCACACUGGGACUGAGACACGGCCCAGACUCCUACGGGAGGCAGCAGUGGGGAAUAUCGGACAAUGGGCGAAAGCCUGAUCCAGCAAUGCCGCGUGAGUGAUGAAGGCCUUAGGGUUGUAAAGCUCUUUUACCCGGGAUGAUAAUGACAGUACCGGGAGAAUAAGCUCCGGCUAACUCCGUG